rnacentral:rRNA from 1 species
AUUGAACGCUGGCGGCAUGCCUUACACAUGCCAGUCGAACGGUAACAGGUUAAGCUGACGAGUGGCGAACGGGUGAGUAAUGUAUCGGAACGUGCCCAGUCGUGGGGGAUAACUGCUCGAAAGAGCAGCUAAUACCGCAUACGACCUGAGGGUGAAAGCGGGGGAUCGCAAGACCUCGCGCGAUUGGAGCGGCCGAUAUCAGAUUAGGUAGUUGGUGAGGUAAAGGCUCACCAAGCCGAAGAUCUGUAGCUGGUCUGAGAGGACGACCAGCCACACUGGGACUGAGACACGGCCCCGACUCCUACGGGAGGCAGCAGUGGGGAAUUUUGGACAAUGGGCGCAAGCCUGAUCCAGCCAUGCCGCGUGCGGGAAGAAGGCCUUCGGGUUGUAAACCGCUUUUGUCAGGGAAGAAAAGGUUCUGGCUAAUACCUGGGACUCAUGACGGUACCUGAAGAAUAAGCACCGGCUAACUACGUG